GAACAUUCAGUGAAGAAUUCUGCCUGGUUACUUUAUUAAUCUUUUUAAGAGAUGAUUAAUACUUUAAAAACAGGGAUAGAUACUUAUAUUGUGAUUUCUACCUGGGUUUCUAUUAGGUAGUAUCUGUUUUUCCUUCUUAUAAAUAAGAAUAUUCUCAAGUAUAACAGAAAAAGAAACAUGUAUUUACAUACUUUUGAGAAUAAUAAUAAUAGAGUAAUAGUAAGAGAAUAAAGUAGAACAAUAUCUAUUUCACUAAUAUAAAUAGUUCACAUUAUAUAAGUAGUGCUAGUCCUAUUCAAUUUGUAAAUAUCCCAUCAUUUUAUGGUUGGCACCUUAAGUAAGUUUUCUUCUAAUCUGAGGUUUCUGAAAGUUGUAUAUAAAUAAGGUUUCUAAUGUGCAAUACUUUUAUCAAAUAUUUU